AAGACUAUAGACCUGCGGAGUACCUGCGGAGGGAUCAUUAAAGAGAAAACUGCCCUUUGGGUAGAUCUCCCACCCUUUGUUUAUAUUACCUUUGUUGCUUUGGCAGGCCCGUCUCUGACCACCGGCUCUUUGGCUGGUCUGUGCCUGCCAAGAGACCUCCAACUCUUGAUUUGAAGUUGUCCAAGUCUUAUAUAAUAGUAAAAACUUUUAGCAAUGGAUCUCUAGAUCGGAAGAGCACAC
rnacentral:misc_RNA from 1 species